rnacentral:rRNA from 1 species
UACAGAGACUGCAAGCGUUAUUCGGAUUCACUGGGCGUAAAGGGUGCGCAGGCGGCCGGGUGUGUGAGGCGUGAAAGCCCGAUACUUAACAUCGGAAUUGCACCUCAAACUACACGGCUAGAGCAUUGGAGAGGGUAGCGGAAUUCACGGUGUAGCAGUGAAAUGCGUAGAUAUCGUGAGGAACACCAGAGGCGAAGGCGGCUACCUGGACAAUUGCUGACGCUCAGGCACGAAAGCGUGGGGAGCAAAAGGG